GACGAACGCUGGCGGCGUGCUUAACACAUGCAAGUCGAACGGAAAGGCUCCAGCUUGCUGGCGUACUCGAGUGGCGAACGGGUGAGUAACACGUGGGUAAUCUGCCCUGCACUCUGGGAUAAGCCUGGGAAACUGGGUCUAAUACUGGAUAUGACCUUUCUCCUUAUGGGGUUUGGUGGAAAGUUUUUCGGUGUAGGGUGAGCCCGCGGCCUAUCAGCUUGUUGGUGGGGUGAUGGCCUACCAAGGCGACGACGGGUAGCCGGCCUGAGAGGGUGAUCGGCAAAUUUGGGACGGAGAUAGGCCCCAGACUCCAACGGGGGGCAGCGGGGGGGAAUUUUGCACAGUGGGCGGAAGCCGGAUGCGGCGACGCCGGGGGGGGAAUGCCGGCUUUCGGUUUGAAAACCUUUUUCGGCGGGAACGAAGCUUAAGUGAGGGUACCUGAAGAAGAAGCCCCGGCUAACUAGGUG
rnacentral:rRNA from 1 species